GACAGAGGGUGCAAACGUUGCUCGGAAUUACUGGGCGUAAAGCGUGCGCAGGCGGCUUUGCAAGACAGAUGUGAAAUCCCCGGGCUCAACCUGGGAACUGCAUUUGUGACUGCAUGGCUAGAGUGCGGCAGAGGGGGAUGGAAUUCCGCGUGUAGCAGUGAAAUGCGUAGAUAUGCGGAGGAACACCGAUGGCGAAGGCAGGUCUCUGGGCUGAAACUGACGCUCAUGCACGAAAGCGUGGGGAGCAAACAGG
rnacentral:rRNA from 1 species